rnacentral:other from 1 species
GCGGGGCUGCGAGGCGCGUCAGGAGACAUAAUUCUCGGGGCCUUACGAUUCCAACGGGAGCUGUCCCUGACCGGGCUCGUGGGUUCGGUCAUAUGGCGCCCACCUACUUCUGUAGGUUCCCGGGAUCGGUUCUCCAACGGCCAUUGCGGCUCCGCA